GAGGGCUUGGCCGAGUGGUUAAGGCGUCAGAUUUAGGUUAAUAAAAUUUUCUUUGAAAUUUUAUAAAACACUCUGAUAUCUACGGAUGCGCGAGUUCGAAUCUCGUGGUCCUCA
rnacentral:tRNA from 1 species